rnacentral:lncRNA from 1 species
UGAGAUUAGAGAGUAGAAUAGGUAUUGAGAGAUUUGGUAAGAGAUUAAGAGAAGUUUAGAAGAGAUUGUGAAAGAAAUGGGGAGAUUUAUGUAUGAACCAUGAUGAACAAGAGAGAGACUAGAGAGAGAGUAACAUGAUUCGCAUUAAUCCAUUAAUGAGAGAGUGUUUACAAUAUAUAGGAGUGUGAUCUAGGUUUUAAGAAGAGACUAAGCAUGUGAGGUCAAGUCUAAGGGAGCCUUUAAUUUGAACCGGACCAAUGAGCCUCUCCACACGCG